rnacentral:rRNA from 1 species
AGGUUACUGCUAUCGGUGUUCGCCUAAGCCAUGCGAGUCAUAUGUUCUUCGUGAACAUGGCGUACUGCUCAGUAACACGUGGAUAACCUGCCCUUGGGUCCGGCAUAACCCCGGGAAACUGGGGAUAAUUCCGGAUAACGCAUAUAUGCUGGAAUGCUUUAUGCGUAAAAUGGAUUCGUCUGCCCAAGGAUGGGUCUGCGGCCUAUCAGGUAGUAGUGGGUGUAAUGUACCUACUAGCCAACAACGGGUACGGGUUGUGAGAGCAAGAGCCCGGAGAUGGAUUCUGAGACAUGAAUCCAGGCCCUACGGGGCGCAGCAGGCGCGAAAACUUUACAAUGCGGGAAACCGUGAUAAGGGGACACCGAGUGCCAGCAUCAUAUGCUGGCUGUCCGGGUGUGUAAAAUACACCUGUUAGCAAGGGCCGGGCAAGACCGGUGCCAGCCGCCGCGGUAACACCGGCGGCCCGAGUGGUGAUCGUGAUUAUUGGGUCUAAAGGGUCCGUAGCCGGUUUGGUCAGUCCUCCGGGAAAUCUGAUGGCUCAACCAUUAGGCUUUCGGGGGAUACUGCCAGGCUUGGAACCGGGAGAGGUAAGAGGUACUACAGGGGUAGGAGUGAAAUCUUGUAAUCCCUGUGGGACCACCUGUGGCGAAGGCGUCUUACCAGAACGGGUUCGACGGUGAGGGACGAAAGCUGGGGGCACGAACCGGAUUAGAUACCCGGGUAGUCCCAGCCGUAAACGAUGCUCGCUAGGUGUCAGGCAUGGCGCGACCGUGUCUGGUGCCGCAGGGAAGCCGUGAAGCGAGCCACCUGGGAAGUACGGCCGCAAGGCUGAAACUUAAAGGAAUUGGCGGGGGAGCACAACAACGGGUGGAGCCUGCGGUUUAAUUGGACUCAACGCCGGACAACUCACCGGGGACGACAGCAAAAUGUAGGCCAGGCUGAAGACCUUGCCUGAAUCGCUGAGAGGAGGUGCAUGGCCGUCGCCAGUUCGUACUGUGAAGCAUCCUGUUAAGUCAGGCAACGAGCGAGACCC